AUCGCGGGUGCUGGGGAUUGCCUGUGGGAGACCUGGCCUCGGUGCUGCCUCCCUCCCUCCUUCAGUUCUGAAUCCAGCUCUGGAGGAGAAGAGAAAAGCUGGGCUUGGUCCUGUACGAACAAAUUCCGCUACUGCGCGGCUUCCAGCUCCAUCAACGAAACCCAGCUCAUGCAGAGAGGGUGUGACAGGAGGCCCCGCGCCGCCACGGGCAGCUGCUCUGCUCAGGGUACGAGCGGGCGGGGCAUUGAGUGCGCCCAGGGCAGGAGCCCAAGCCUCCGCUCAGAGGACACUUGCUCGGGACCAGGGACCGCUGGCUCCAAGAGGAACCACGCACCCCAAAGUCCCCCGUGCUCCUCAUGG
rnacentral:lncRNA from 1 species